rnacentral:tRNA from 1 species
CAGGGAGACAACAAAAUGUUUAAUAUUAUUAUUUUGUCACCUUAGGUCGAUCGGUAUCUCACGUUCUUAAUUUGUUGAGAAUUUCAUUUCCUAAGUUUUUCUAGGUCACACCCAUUAUUUUUCCUGGGCCAUUAGCUCAGGUGGUUAGAGCGCACCCCUGAUAAGGGUGAGGUCCCUGGUUCAAGUCCAGGAUGGCCCAUAUCUCUAUGUUGGGGGUAUAGCUCAGUUGGUAGAGCGCCUGCUUUGCAAGCAGGAUGUCAGCGGUUCGAGUCCGCUUACCUCCACUGAUUACCACCUCUUCCAUAACUGGUAGAAAGGAAAUGUUUUGAGUUGUGAUUAUUAUUCUGAACGAAUCUAGCUUCCUAAUGAAAUCAUUAAGAUGCUGGACUCAUUGAAUCAAUUUCAUUGUUUUCAGAGAACCUUGACAACUGCAUAGAUUUUUUUAAAGACAAUAAGCAUCUUUAAUGAUGCAGAUUUAUUAUUUGUGCGAAUGCAUUAAUAACAAUUCUAUUAAGCUGAUGCUUCAAUUUUUGAAGUUAUU